rnacentral:rRNA from 1 species
UUGAACGCUGGCGGCAGGCCUAACACAUGCAAGUCGAACGGUAACAGGAAGCAGCUUGCUGUUUCGCUGACGAGUGGCGGACGGGUGAGUAAUGUCUGGGAAACUGCCUGAUGGAGGGGGAUAACUACUGGAAACGGUAGCUAAUACCGCAUAACGUCGCAAGACCAAAGUGGGGGACCUUCGGGCCUCAUGCCAUCAGAUGUGCCCAGAUGGGAUUAGCUAGUAGGUGGGGUAACGGCUCACCUAGGCGACGAUCCCUAGCUGGUCUGAGAGGAUGACCAGCCACACUGGAACUGAGACACGGUCCAGACUCCUACGGGAGGCAGCAGUGGGGAAUAUUGCACAAUGGGCGCAAGCCUGAUGCAGCCAUGCCGCGUGUGUGAAGAAGGCCUUCGGGUUGUAAAGCACUUUCAGCGGGGAGGAAGGGAGUAAAGUUAAUACCUUUGCUCAUUGACGUUACCCGCAGAAGAAGCACCGGCUAACUCCGUGCCAGCAGCCGCGGUAAUACGGAGGGUGCAAGCGUUAAUCGGAAUUACUGGGCGUAAAGCGCACGCAGGCGGUCUGUCAAGUCGGAUGUGAAAUCCCCGGGCUCAACCUGGGAACUGCAUUCGAAACUGGCAGGCUAGAGUCUUGUAGAGGGGGGUAGAAUUCCAGGUGUAGCGGUGAAAUGCGUAGAGAUCUGGAGGAAUACCGGUGGCGAAGGCGGCCCCCUGGACGAAGACUGACGCUCAGGUGCGAAAGCGUGGGGAGCAAACAGGAUUAGAUACCCUGGUAGUCCACGCCGUAAACGAUGUCGACUUGGAGGUUGUGCCCUUGAGGCGUGGCUUCCGGAGCUAACGCGUUAAGUCGACCGCCUGGGGAGUACGGCCGCAAGGUUAAAACUCAAAUGAAUUGACGGGGGCCCGCACAAGCGGUGGAGCAUGUGGUUUAAUUCGAUGCAACGCGAAGAACCUUACCUGGUCUUGACAUCCACGGAAGUUUUCAGAGAUGAGAAUGUGCCUUCGGGAACCGUGAGACAGGUGCUGCAUGGCUGUCGUCAGCUCGUGUUGUGAAAUGUUGGGUUAAGUCCCGCAACGAGCGCAACCCUUAUCCUUUGUUGCCAGCGGUCCGGCCGGGAACUCAAAGGAGACUGCCAGUGAUAAACUGGAGGAAGGUGGGGAUGACGUCAAGUCAUCAUGGCCCUUACGACCAGGGCUACACACGUGCUACAAUGGCAUAUACAAAGAGAAGCGACCUCGCGAGAGCAAGCGGACCUCAUAAAGUAUGUCGUAGUCCGGAUUGGAGUCUGCAACUCGACUCCAUGAAGUCGGAAUCGCUAGUAAUCGUAGAUCAGAAUGCUACGGUGAAUACGUUCCCGGGCCUUGUACACACCGCCCGUCACACCAUGGGAGUGGGUUGCAAAAGAAGUAGGUAGCUUAACCUUCGGGAGGGCGCUUACCACUUUGUGAUUCAUGACUGGGGUG